GCUUGUGUAGCUCAGUUGGUUAGAGCAUCUGACUGUUAAUCAGAGGGUCGGGAGAUCGUAGCUCUCCACAAGCG
rnacentral:tRNA from 1 species